UACGGAGGGGGCCAGCGUUGUUCGGAAUCAUUGGGCGUAAAGGGCGCGUAGGCGGCUUGGUAAGUCCGUUGUGAAAUCCCUCGGCUCAACCGAGGAACUGCGACGGAUACUGCUUGGCUUGAGUCCCGGAGAGGGUAGCGGAAUUCCCAGUGUAGCGGUGAAAUGCGUAGAUAUUGGGAGGAACAUCGGUGGCGAAGGCGGCUACCUGGACGGGUAUUGACGCUGAGGCGCGAAAGCUAGGGGAGCAAACGGG
rnacentral:rRNA from 1 species